AUGACAUUGUGGUAGAUACUAAGUGAUGGGCAGGAUAGUGUUAGUUUGUUACAGACUAAAAAUAGUCCAGUGACAGUGUGAGUAAUAAUUAAAAAAAAAAAUUCUGCAAAGUAAUGAACAUGCUAGUUGUACUUCCUUUUUCACAUUUCCACACACAGAGUGAGAACAGUCUUUCUGCUGGGUUUGUGGUAUGUUGGUUUUGCUUCUGUUUCUAAUGUGAGGAGCUUUUUAAAAGAAGCUGAUCAGUAGCAGGAGCCAUUUCUGACUGUUAGCUGCUGGACAUAUGUGCAUGCCAUUUAAUAAAUACACACACUGAACAGUAAGGAGACAUGGAAGCUGUGCUGGGAUUAAUGGUGAUUCUCCUGGGACUGUCUCAUGGUGUGGAAACUCACUGUGAUGGCAGACAGGAUGGAACUCAGUGUUAUGGAGCUUUGGGAGGAACUGUGGACAUCCAGCUGAUGGACAGCACCUCAGAAAUAGCUGGAUACAACCUGUUAAAGAAUUCAUUAGUAAUACUAGUUGUCAGAAAUAAUAGUGUUAUUUUUAAUACCAUAGCACACAGGUCUCUCUUAUUUCCCAGUAAUGGAACAUUUAGGAUCAAUAACCUGAGCAGGAAUGACAGUGGUGAUUAUACCCUUCAAACCUUUGAGUCAGAUGGAAGAUCAUCAGGCAUGUGGACUUUACAGUUGUUUAUUCAAGCUCCUGUGUCCUCUGUCCUGCUGGUCUCUGAGUGUCUGUCCCAGGGAGAGAGGAAAGUGUCCUGCUCCUCUGAGGGAGGGGACAGUCCUCAGUACAGUUGGACUCUGGAUGGACGCACACUGACAGAUGCUGAGUUCCUUUCUGUAAAUAAUGAGGAUAACAUCAUUAUUCUGAAACAGCACAUCUCAGGACAUCUGGUCUGCUCAGUCAAGAACAACGUCAAUAGUGUCUCCAAAGAACAGAAGAUAUCUGCCUGUGGUGUGGGAACUUACUGUGAUGGCAGACAGGAUGGAGCUCAGUGUUAUGGAGCUUUGGGAGGAACUGUGGACAUCCAGCUGAUUGACAGCAUCUCUGAAAUACCUCGAUACGACCUGUUAAAGAAUUCAUUAGUAAUACUAGCUGUGAGGAGGAAAAAGAUGGAAGAUUAUCAGGCGAGCGGACUUUACAGCUGUUCAUUCAAGCUCCUGUGACCUCUGUCCUGCUGGUCUCUGAGUGUCAAUUCCUGGGACAGAGGAGGGUGUCCUGCUCCUCUGAGGGAGGGGACAGUCCUCAGUACAGCUGGACUCUGGAUGGACGCACACUGACAGAUGCUGAGCUCUCUUCUGGAAAUAAUGAGAGUAACAUCAUCACUCUGAAACAGCACAUCUCAGGAGAUCUGGUCUGCUCAGUCAGGAACAAUGUCAGUGACGUCUCCAAAGAACAGAGCAUAUGUACUUGUGAUAUUUCCUUGCCUAUAUGUGGCUUGAGAGCUGUUGUGGUAAUUGUCUUAUUAAUUGGGAUUUCCAUCUACUUUACUUGGAAGAAAAAGAAAAAUGAAAAAGCUGAAGCCUCUGCUGUCCCGCAAACAGAAUUCCCAGAAAACUCUGUUUUGAUGGUCGAAAUGAGAAGUUCUGCAACUUAGACCAACACUAAGUUGCAAAUUUCAUCUAGUGAAGCUAUGAGUGUUUUUGGAUUUGGAUUCUGUGGAAACUAAUAGAAAAAAAGAUGUAAGAAGAGUAGUCCAUAGUCAUUUGCCACUUUUUUUCUAGGUAAAGCUGAAAUUAGAUAACGCUAUAAACAAAAAGAAUCAGCCCACUUGUCACUGCUGUUUAUACUAAAUUUUAUUUCAGCAAUCUUAAACAGUUUUUUAAAUGAUGCUUUCUGUCUUUUCUUUGGGAAUUUGUUGAAAAAACGUAUUCAGCAUUUUGGAGAGUUAAAUAUGUUUUUGCCAGUGUAUUGACAAAUAAAUAAAGAUGUAAAUACUGUUCGCUUACUGAAGUGAAAAUCCUAUAUCGAAAUAUGAUGUUAUAAAAUAAGUUUACAUUGUACUAAAGAUUGCAUUUAAUUUAGUAAAUAUUCAUAUUGUAUACUUUGCUUUUACUUCUACUUCUACACUGCAAAAAUAAUUUUAUAUAACAUAUUAAAAUUCAUAGUGUACAUUAGGUGAUUUACAGACAUAGUCAUACACCUCUGUAAUGUUUGUGAAAACAAAUAUUUUAGUUGACUAAAUAAUCAUGCAUUAAACAGUAAAUGAUUUUUGUACUCAGUCUAUUUCAUGCCC
ensembl:lncRNA